rnacentral:pre_miRNA from 6 species
UGUGGUCGCCGGAUUCGAUGGCCAUGAGCUCGAGUAUGUCAGAUCUGGUACGCCAGAGCUCAUGGCCAUCGGAUGUAGCUCACCGG